rnacentral:misc_RNA from 1 species
UCUUUUCUUUUGAUAGGAGAGUUUUUAAAACCAGUGUUAUUUUUGUAAGUUUAAGAGAAGUUUGUGUAUUGAAUUUUUAAUAUUAAAGAGCUUUGUUAAACUUAGACUUAAGUUUAGGUCAUUUUGGGGGUUUAGCUCAGUUGGCUAGAGCAUCGGCUUUGCAAGCCGAGGGUCAAGGGUUCGAGUCCCUUAACCUCCAUUGGGCUUAUGUCCUAAAUUGUAAUUAAGUAUGUUUUUAAGCAACUUUGUUAAAGUAAUUGUUGGAAUGUGAAACGCAAGAAGUUAAAAUUUCUGGGUUAAGUUGAGAUCUGUUGAUAUUAAGAAAAAUGUCUAGAAGCAAAAGCAAGCUUUCGAUAAAACCCGAAGUUGUUUCGCUAAAGUGCAAGGAUUAAACAGGAUUGUAUUUUUCAGCAGCCUAUUUUAUAAACGAUCUGCAUUUAGUAAAUAGUUUUUAGUUAGGAAAUAAUGUAGAUUACUAAGUGUGAUGUCUGAGAGAAGGACAAGUAUUGUAGCGAGCUUAAAUCCUUAUUAUCGUUGCCAGUAUUUAGUGGUAGGGAUUCGGAUAAGAUUGCCAGUUAUAAGUUGGAGGAAGGCAAAGAUUGCAUUAAAUCGUUAUCGCUCUUAUGUUUUAGGUUACAAGUUUGCAACAAUAACUCAAAAAAGCUAAGCAAAAUACUAUAAAGCAGAUUUCAGUUUGGAUUUGCCCGACACUCAAUGGCAUGAAGUUGUAAUUGUUAGUAAUCG